UGUUAUGACGUUCCAUUUCUGCAACUGACCUCAUGUGUCAGUUAUUAACUAAGAGGUGGAAUUGUGUAUUGUAUCUUCUUGGCAGGAGCAGUGGAUUUCAAGUAGCAUCCAAUCAUCGGCCAUGUACAAAAGGAACUGCCACAUUAGAGAACUGACCUUGAUGGAACUCAGUACAAUCUCUUACUGUUAGACAGUGAAGGAAUAGAUGCCUAUGAUCAAACACAAUAUGAAUGGCUUAUUGGAUCACAAUAUGCUACAUCUGAUUGGGUUGCAAUAAGAAAACCUCCACCUUGUGCCAUUGAUUCUUGGGGCUUAGAUGCUGAAGCGUGAAAGAAAGGGUUCUUCCUACUCAAUGUUUUGAUUUAUAGGACCAAACAUCAAGCAUGCCUCGACGAGGAUCCAUAUUAGAUUCUAGGAGUGACAGGUCCACUUCUAGGAGUGACAGGUCCACUUCAUCCAAGUCAUUUCAAACUACAUCAAGGCAUAAUAACAAAGGAUCCACAUUUCAUCAACCUGUGUAUCAGAACGCAAAUGAGUAUUAUAUACCUACUUUGGGGAGUACACAUCCUCCUCAACAUGAUUAUGGGAGGGUUGAUUCAUAUCAAUAUUGUGAGGGCUUUCGUUUUCAAGAUUUGCUUCAAACUCAAGGAGGUUUCUCUCGAGAUAAUCAACUUGUUUAUGGAGGACAUAAUUUAUAUGGGAGUUAUGGGAGAGUUGAAGGUAAUGAUGAUGAUGUGAACAUUAGAAAUGAAGAUGAGGGAGACGGUAGUAAUGAGAGAGGUGUAUGUGAUGAGG